CCUACGGGCGGCAGCAGUGGGGAAUAUUGGACAAUGGGGGGAACCCUGAUCCAGCCAUGCCGCGUGUGUGAAGAAGGCCCUCGGGUUGUAAAGCACUUUCAGUGAGGAAGAACGCCUGGUGGUUAAUACCCAUCAGGAAAGACAUCACUCACAGAAGAAGCACCGGCUAACUCCGUGCCAGCAGCCGCGGUAAUACGGAGGGUGCGAGCGUUAAUCGGAAUUACUGGGCGUAAAGCGCGCGUAGGUGGCUUGAUAAGCCGGUUGUGAAAGCCCCGGGCUCAACCUGGGAACGGCAUCCGGAACUGUCAAGCUAGAGUGCAGGAGAGGAAGGUAGGAUUCCCGGUGUAGCGGUGAAAUGCGUAGAGAUCGGGAGGAAUACCAGUGGCGAAGGCGGCCUUCUGGACUGACACUGACACUGAGGUGCGAAAGCGUGGGUAGCAAACAGGAUUAGAUACCCCUGUAGUC
rnacentral:rRNA from 1 species